GGGAUUUGAAUGUGCAGCCAGGUUGAAAAUCACUAACCCACAUGAUAAUUUCAUCUUUCAGAAGGGAGAGGAAGUGAUGAAGAGGAUUAACACCCUGCUUCUAAUUCUGGCCAACUCGGAGGCCCUGCAUGGAAAAUCAGAAGUGACAGGAAUCCUGGAAGAGGGCCACCUGGCCAUCAGAAAAUUCCAGAGGGAUGUGGUCACUGCCAGACACACACUUGGUUUAUCUGGUCCACGUAGAUGGAAGAAACUAGUUUAGACAUCCAAUUUUCAGACUAAUAAAAGUUAUGGAGCUCUGUGGUGUUAUGGAAGUGAAUGGCAUAUUGCCAUGAGUAAUGAAGUGAGAUCCCAGCAGUACCCACUGUACCAAGAAGCUGAGCGUUGACUGAAGGUCUGAUGGCUUCUAGACUCUCACCAUGAACUAACUGUGCCACACGUUGAAAUUGAAAUGUGGAUCCCUUGGAAUAACUUGUUUCCUGUUUUAUGAAGGUCAGAGGGUGGGAGUGAAAACUUACCAGUAACCAAACAUGGUGGUAUCAAGCCUAAUCAGAAAUAAAAAAACUUCUAAAAUCUGUG
rnacentral:lncRNA from 1 species